rnacentral:rRNA from 1 species
AGCGAACGCUGGCGGUAGGCCUAACACAUGCAAGUCGAACGGCAGCACAGUAAGAGCUUGCUCUUACGGGUGGCGAGUGGCGGACGGGUGAGGAAUACAUCGGAAUCUACUUUUUCGUGGGGGAUAACCUAGGGAAACUUACGCUAAUACCGCAUACGACCUACGGGUGAAAGCAGGGGAUCUUCGGACCUUGCGCGAUUGAAUGAGCCGAUGUCGGAUUAGCUAGUUGGCGGGGUAAAGGCCCACCAAGGCGACGAUCCGUAGCUGGUCUGAGAGGAUGAUCAGCCACACUGGAACUGAGACACGGUCCAGACUCCUACGGGAGGCAGCAGUGGGGAAUAUUGGACAAUGGGCGCAAGCCUGAUCCAGCCAUACCGCGUGGGUGAAGAAGGCCUUCGGGUUGUAAAGCCCUUUUGUUGGGAAAGAAAAGCAGCAGGUUAAUACCCCGCUGUUCUGACGGUACCCAAAGAAUAAGCACCGGCUAACUUCGUG